CUCGCCACGGGCCCGGUCGCCUCCGUCGCGGGCUGCGAGCGUGUGUCCGGCCGCGGCAGCGGGGAGGGCGGCCCGAGCUGCCGCCGCCUGGACUUCGACCCUGCCCGGAUGUUUCUGGUUGAUGCACCUCAUGGGCUGCGGUCCCAGACCUGCCUGCGCAUGGCAGGUAGUAUGAUCCCCGCAGACCUCGGAGGGUCUCUGCAUGGACCAUCCACUUUUGCAGACCCUCCUUUGAGGGGAAAUAAAUUUUCUUCAGAAGGGA